UAGGGAAUCUUCCGCAAUGGACGCAAGUCUGACGGAGCAACGCCGCGUGAGUGAAGAAGGAUUUCGGUUCGUAAAACUCUGUUGUUAGAGAAGAACAGCGCAUAGAGUAACUGUUAUGCGUGUGACGGUAUCUAACCAGAAAGCCACGGCUAACUACGUGCCAGCAGCCGCGGUAAUACGUAGGUGGCAAGCGUUGUCCGGAUUUAUUGGGCGUAAAGCGAGCGCAGGCGGUCAAUUAAGUCUGAUGUGAAAGCCCCCGGCUCAACCGGGGAGGGUCAUUGGAAACUGGUUGACUUGAGUGCAGAAGAGGAGAGUGGAAUUCCAUGUGUAGCGGUGAAAUGCGUAGAUAUAUGGAGGAACACCAGUGGCGAAGGCGACUCUCUGGUCUGUAACUGACGCUGAGGCUCGAAAGCGUGGGCAGCAAACAGG
rnacentral:rRNA from 1 species